UACAGAGGUCUCAAGCGUUUGUUCGGAUUCAUUGGGCGUAAAGGGUGCGUAGGCGGCGCGGUAAGUCGGGUGUGAAAUCUCGGAGCUUAACUCCGAAACUGCAUUCGAUACUGCCGUGCUUGAGGACUGGAGAGGAGACUGGAAUUUACGGUGUAGCGGUGAAAUGCGUAGAUAUCGUAAGGAAGACCAGUGGCGAAGGCGGGGUCUCUGGACAGUUCCUGACGCUGAGGCACGAAGGUCAGGGGGAGCAAACGGG
rnacentral:rRNA from 1 species